GGACAAUAUUGAUUUUUUGAUUAUCCAUGCAACCUCUCCCUCCCCACAAUUACACGUCAUCGUUACAUUAUUAAAAUUACCCUAAAACCCUUCCAAACCAAUUACCUCAUGUACCUUAAUUUUAAACAGAGGGAUAAAUCACCGUCGCCGGUGGAACAAAAUUCAUUGCCACGGUUCGGUUCCGACGGACUGAUUAUUAAAAUCUCAUUGGACUAUUCACUCUCGUCACUUCUACAACACCGCCACUAAACUCAGAACAAAAUUCCAUCCCUCUCUCUCUCUUUCUUCUUUCAGACGAAUAAGUUUAAAAGCUUCGUCUCUUUCCGUUGGUCGCCGAGAUCGCCGCUUCCGAAGCUGGUCAUGACCGACUCUUCGGAAUCAAGAGACCGCCGAUUCUCCAAUGGAUGAUUCUUCGCUCUGCCUAGAGCGAGAUCCGGAAGGCACCGGAAAUCGGACGGAGUAGAUGGGUAAAAUUGAAGAUUGUGUGUGGUGGUUGUCCAGACAUCGGUAUUGAAAGUAAGUGCGGAAUCAUCGACGUUGGGGAUGGGAUUUCCAGAACUUUCAAUUCCGGGUAUCGGGCGGAGAACUCCGCCGUUGAGAACGGUAUCCGCCGCCGCUUGACAAACGUGCCAGUUCCCACUGUACAAGAGACCAACGGCUCCGCUAACUGGGUUAACGGUGCGACCACAAGCUUCGAAUAACAGAGACUGAAACAGAGCAGGUCUUUGAUGAUAAGGAACGGCGGAGAUGAAGGACAAGAGAUCACUACGGCCGAAGAAUUUAGCGAGAAACAGAGUGGCGUUGCCUUGGGCUUCCGGAGAAUCAAUCCAAUGGAGACUUGACCUUAAAACGCAGGUUUCGCUGCAGCCCUUUCGAAGCACUCGGCAACCGUUGCAACUCAUCCUUGGAGUAAGGGAGUUCCCAAAUCAAAAGGCGGUGUUGAGUUUCAGAUUGAAGAUGAGUUCCAGUUGGGAAUUAAGGAAUGGAGAAUAA
rnacentral:misc_RNA from 1 species